rnacentral:rRNA from 1 species
CAGUAGCCGCGGUAAUACGAAGGGUGCAAGCGUUAAUCGGAAUUACUGGGCGUAAAGCGUGCGUAGGCGGUUUGUUAAGUCUGUUGUGAAAUCCCCGGGCUCAACCUGGGAAUGGCAAUGGAUACUGGCAAGCUAGAGUGUGUCAGAGGAUGGUGGAAUUCCCGGUGUAGCGGUGAAAUGCGUAGAGAUCGGGGGGAACAUCAGUGGCGAAGGCGGCCAUCUGGGACAACACUGACGCUGAGGCACGAAAGCGUGGGGAGCAAACAGGAUUAGAUACCCGAGUAGUCCCUGUCUCUUAUAC